CGCCUGGGGAGUACGGCCGCAAGGUUAAAACUUAAAGGAAUUGACGGACUCCUACGGGAGGCAGCAGUGGGGAAUUGUUCGCAAUGGGCGCAAGCCUGAUCCAGCCAUGCCGCGUGAGUGACGAAGGUCUUCGGAUUGUAAAGCUCUUUUGGCGGGGACGAUAAUGACGGUACCCGCAGAAUAAGCCCCGGCUAACUUCGUGCCAGCAGCCGCGGUAAUACGAAGGUGGCAAGCGUUGUUCGGAUUUACUGGGCGUACAGGGAGCGUAGGCGGUUGGAUAAGCCCUCCGUGAAAUCUCCAGGCUUAACCUGGAAAGUGCAGAGGGGACUGUUCAGCUAGAGGAUGGGAGAGGAGCGCGGAAUUCCCGGUGUAGCGGUGAAAUGCGUAGAUAUCAGUCGGAACACCGGUGGCGAAGGCGGCUUCUUGGGCCUGGACUGACGCUGAGGCGCGAAAGCUGGGGGAGCGAACGGGAUUAGAUACCCCGGUAGUCCCAGCCGUAAACGAUGGAUACUAGGUGUCGGGGGUAUCGACCCCUCCGGUGCCGCAGCUAACGCAUUAAGUAUCCCGCCUGGGGAGUACGGCCGCAAGGCUAAAACUUAAAGGAAUUGACG
rnacentral:rRNA from 1 species